rnacentral:lncRNA from 1 species
GGUGUUAUUGACAGAGCUGGUGCAGAGCUCUUGUCAGUGGAUAGUAGCUGCCCCUGAAAUGUUAUUUUGUGAGGGAAAGGUCAAGUUUAAGAGAGCUACAAUACCUAGAAUGGGAAUUUAUUGCAUUUUAAAUACUGCUUUGCCAUUCCACGUGAUGUCUUUGACAAACGGAUAACAUCUGAUAGAAGAGUUUGGUCCCUUAGGAAGUACUCAACAGGUUCCAUAUUGAAUAUUUGUUAAGUUUAGUAAAUUAAACCUGUUAAGAGACUUGAGACCUGAAGCAAACAUGCAGAAUUGUGUCUGUGAUCAAAUGCAUACAUGCCAUGAAACUGGGAUCCAGUCUUCUCUCAGCUUUGACUGCUCUCCCACUUCAGUCUGACUGUAGGGCGAGCGAUUCGAUUCUUAGCAGCCCAUGGCUUCCCUGAGGAGGCAAAGUGGGAGUGCUCAUGUUCUUCCCAUUCCUCUCACUCCAAGCCUCAGAUCGGCAGCCCAGCUUCUUUACUUAUUCACUUUAUAGCCCGCUCACUGUCCCCCUUUCCUCUGAGCAGGUGAGGCCUCUCCUGGGCUAGAAGAACAUAUUCCCCAUACAGGCAACAGCUUUUGGGAUAGCCCAGUUGUUAUCUGCUGCAUAUGUGCAGGGAGGCCUAGGUCCAGCUCAUGAGUGUUCUUUUGUUGGUUGUUCAGUCUCUGAGGUCCCCAAGGGUGUUGGUCUUUCUGUGGAGUUCCUAUCC